ACAUUUGUAGCCUGGUGUG
rnacentral:piRNA from 1 species